UACGUAGGGUGCAAGCGUUAAUCGGAAUUACUGGGCGUAAAGCGUGCGCAGGCGGUUAUGUAAGACAGAUGUGAAAUGCCCGGGCUCAACCUGGGAACUGCAUUUGUGACUGCAUGGCUAGAGUGUGUCAGAGGGGGGUAGAAUUCCACGUGUAGCAGUGAAAUGCGUAGAUAUGUGGAGGAAUACCGAUGGCGAAGGCAGCCCCCUGGGAUAACACUGACGCUCAUGCACGAAAGCGUGGGGAGCGAACAGG
rnacentral:rRNA from 1 species